rnacentral:lncRNA from 1 species
ACCCUUUUUCAUGUAAAUUACCAUUUUAAGCUUUGUAAAAAUCUAUGGAGUCUUGUCAUUUACAGACGACCAUUCUAUCAAAUAAAGUUGAGCUUUUAUCCAAUUGUUUUUACUCUUUUUUAUUUCAGCCAAUAGUUUAAAUUUUAUUAUGAUAAUUUUUUGAAAAUUAAUUUUUUUUUGAAGUUUUUUCCUUAAAACAUAUAAAAGCAAGGACUUUCCAAGGCAAUUAAAAGAAAUAUCAACUACAUUCCGAUGGAUAACAACUUCUUGAGUG